rnacentral:lncRNA from 1 species
UUUCCGUCUUAAUCGGAUCGGGCUUUUCCCAGAAAUCUGGUGGUCCCAACUCCUUGAACUGCUUGGCUGUGACAGACCGCGCGUUACCAUCAUUUUCACUCGUAUUUUGUACACGAGUCUCCCUCGUCUGAUUUUGCAUGAACUGCAAAAAGCUUCUAAACAUUCCAUCGUUCAUCAUUUGCUCGGUAGUGUUGUUUAUAGGAGGAAUAUUGCCUUCCUGUUGCACGUUCUCCUGGUUUGUAACUAAAGGUUGUUCCACAGUCUCAUAAACUCCAUUAUUAACGUUCUCAGCAGCCAUUCUUAAAUACUGUCAUAAAACAAGGGUUAAUUAAACAAAUUAACAUAUCACAUAAUAUCCCUAUAUUAUGACCAACCAACAAAUAAACUUAGAUAGGACACACUAGCGAAUGAUUUACUCAUCUCUCCUCUCCUAGUUCUAUUCCCCGAUCUCUGUCAGAGACCAUAUCCCUAAGCUUUGAUACCAACUGUGACGCCCCCAAAAUAGGUAUACAACACUCAUUUUGAGUCGCCAAAUACAUGGUACAUAAAGCAAAUUACAACUUCAAUAAUACAAAUGUCAUGUGAAAUACGAC